rnacentral:misc_RNA from 1 species
GCAAGAUUUAGCCCUUAUCUAGACUUGAGAAAACAUCAUCUAGUCUGAUGUGAAAUAAAAAUAAAAAAAUAAAAAUAUAAAAUAUAAAAUAAGGAAAAAAAAUUUAUGUUUUCUUCCCUCUACAAUAAUUUAAGCAGAGUGUAAAUUUGUAAUGAAUGAAACAGUUUCUUUGUCAAAAUUAAACCGGUAGCCACCCCUAGAAAGCAACAUGGCGUGCAGGCAAGUGCUGUCUUUCGGCCACCAAAAGUUUCAGAGCCCUUGUUCUUUUCAAUGAUCUUUCCCUGCAAAGCUGCAACUGCAAUUUGCCAAAUUCAAACUAUAUAUGAAAAUAUUAUUUUUACAAUAAAAGCAGGCCUUCAAGCCCAUCAAAAUCUUUGGAAAAACCAUAAAACCAUCAAAUUGAUUUAUUUAUUUUGAGUAAAAGCCCAACAAAAGAUGUUUCCUGGAUUUGAACCAUCAUCGAAUAUCCCAUUCAAUGAGCUCUU